rnacentral:lncRNA from 1 species
CAUGCCUAUCUCAGGGUCCCUCGACCACCAUCAUGGCCCAAUUGUUGCUGAUGAGUCAUCAGAAUCGAUGAAAAUUGAUACACAAUUUGUUUUCUUUCACUCAUUUCUUUCAUAUUCUUUCUUCUUUCACAAAGUCAGUUGCCAUUGUUGGAUGGUGCCGUGCUCGAACGGCCGACAGUCGAAGUCAUGGGGGUCUAUCGAUGGUUGGGGGUCAUUGCCACCAUGGGGAUCACCGCUAUGUGGGGGUGGUCUACC